rnacentral:misc_RNA from 1 species
GAGAUACUGCAAUCAUAUAAUGCUUAAGGAGAACGCAUUUGACAUUAGGAGAAGACAGAAGAAGAAAAUGCGGUCCUUGUCAAUGGAGAAGUCAAACGUUAAAACUGUUUGUGAAAAUGCCAAAGUGAAUUGCAAAGGUAUCAUGUUUCUUGAUAAGAGAAUUCUAAGAUGGGUAUCUUUUCUAGCUGCGAAAACAUGAACAAAUAUGGGAAUGAGAAUCACAAUUGUGGCUGGACAUCUAAUGGUUUGUGAUUUUAAAGGAGCAAUAAUUGGAAAUUUGGAAAAGAAAGUGAAAGAAAUUUAAAUCAUUGUCAA